CUUUUUGGACGACUUCUUCUUUUUCCCUUUCUUUCUCUUCUUUCUUCUUCCUCCCUCUGUUUCUAUUCUGUCACAGCUUUUCCAUUUUCUUCUUCCUCCCUUUGUAAACACUGAAGUCAUCGAGCCCAGAUCCCGUAGGCUCCGUCUCAGUUCUCUCGCAACCUCCAUCUCAGUUCCUUCGCAGCUACCGGUUAAUCACCAAAAUCGAGAAAACCAAACCGUUUGACCGGUUAACCGGAGUUGGUGGUUCAGCUCCGGUGCCAGAAAUCUCUCCACCGAAAGCUCAGCUCUAGUUGAACAUAAGAACUCUACAGAGGAUAAAAAAAACUUUCUUUUCAGCUUUCAUCAAUGGCAGAUUUUGGAGUAUUUCCCCAAAGUCUACUUAUUUGAAGAUUCUUUUGCAUAUAUAUAAGAUGGAUCUCGAACUGAAGCUGAACAACUGAACAAGAGCAACCAGGAGAAUUCUGAAGAAAGAAAUGAACAAGAGCUUCCGCAAAACGAAAAUAGUGAGACCCGGAAGAUUCAUAGGAAUGAAAUCAGCUCAUCUGAAGGCACAGACGUUGGGGUUUUCAACUUCGACAACGAAUAUCGUGCAGGCUGUAUUGAUGGUCUUGAAGCAAGGAGGGGUCGAAACUACAACAUUGAGGGCAAUAGAAUCCAUUCAGACAAAGGCCAGCGGGUUGGGAUCGGCAAUUUUGGCAACAACUACUCCAUGUCCAACUUAUCAUUUUUUCUUGGUGGGCUUAUUAUUCUAGCUUUUGCUAUAUAUUAUAUAUAUAGCGAAGCUAGCGGUACGAACAACAAGAAGGAAAUAUAAAUAAGAUAAAAAGGAAAGGGGCUGUUGAAUUAAUAGGCUUGAAUUUCCAAGAAGAAAAAAAACAAGAGAUGUAUGGUUUGGAAAUUUAUGGCCACCAGAGCUCCUACACUCGAACUUUUCUCUGAAUCUGAAUGUUAUUUCUCUUAUAUUUAUGUAUUUCUUUUCUUCUUC